rnacentral:Y_RNA from 1 species
GGCUGGUCUGAUGGUAGUGGGUUAUCAGUGUAUACUAAAGCUGGUAUACAACACCCCACUCCUAAAUUUGCCUGGCUUUUU